UGGACAGGAGAUUGAGGGAUGCUGUAAGAGAACUCUUAACUGAUUCUUAAAACAAGGUACACUGCGUUAUCUUUAAUGUUAUGUGUGUCACAUUUGUUGUCUUUCUUGCAACAAAGACAUGACUCACAGAUACUUUAAAAUAACUAUAGGCUUGUAUUUACCAAACUGGUAAAUGUGAAAUUGUAGAAGUUCCUAAAGACAGUGAGCAAAAGUAGGUAAAGAACUGCAAUUGUGUUUACCUUAUGCCCUAAUGUGGAUGCAGAAACAGGACGUGAGACUGAACAGGUGCCAUCUGUAUCGCCUGUUGGAGACCAGCUUGGGACUCAGAUUACCUUGGGAGAAAAGGUGGUGAUUCGGAAAGAGGCCUGGGUCCGUCGGGACUCACUGUUUGGUAAAGAAUUGGCAGUGGCAAUCUGGGGCUCUAAAACCCUGGGGGAAACGAGCCUUACAGGAAAGGAGUGCCCCACCACCAAAACUACCCGGCAGCCAUUAACCCCAAAGAAGCUACAAACUUUGAGAGUCUGCUUCAAGGAGUGGCUCCAGCAAAGAAACCUGGAAGAGACGGAGUUGCAGGCCAGAUGGUCAAAGGCUGGACGAUAUAUAACGGAAAAAAUUAUGGAUAUAAACAAACAAAAAAAAAAGGGAUGUUUUCUAAUUUAACUUGCAAUUGGAAGUUAUUUUCGAAUAGUUGAUUUGGUUGCUCUUUUUGAAUGUGUGGAUAUUGUAACAAUGCUCUUUAUUACGUGUCUGUCCCAUUCAGUAAAUUAAAAUAUUGAACUGACUGACCGACUCUUUUUGGUAGAUGCUAGCAUACAAAAGACAAUGGAGUAAUGUAAUGAUCUAACAUGCACUGUUUUUAUAAUAUCAACAUUGAACUUGUCCGGCAUACAAACCUGAUGAGAAAAUGCAAUCCUCAGCAUUUAGUCCUAUUAAACAGCACCAGCAUCAUUCAUGCUGGUCACCAGCAUACCAGCAUCAUUCAUGCUGGUGACCAGCAUACCAGCACCAGCAUCAUGGCGCCAAUUCGUAAUUUCGCUGGGAUGAGAGAAGUGCGUUGGUCACUGCUGCUGCACAAGAGGUAAGAAUGAAAUUCUUUUGACAUUAUCAUAAUAAUGGAAGGUGGGGAUUAGGUAAUUAGGUGUCUGUCCAACAAGUAAUUGACAAAUAAACUCCGACCUGUAUUCAGACUGUCGAAAAUGGGAUGGUUGGCCAAGUUAACGGCUAAUGGCUAACGUUAGCUAACGACUAAUGUUAACAUUAGCUAAUGGUUAAUGUUAACGUUAGCUAACGGAUAAUGUUAGCUAACGGCUAAUGUUAGGUUCUACGUUGCAUAUCAAACUAGGGGUCCUUAAAAUGAAAACAGUUUGAGAACUGGCGAUCAGUGGAUCUUAAUUGGGGAAGCUGAGCUCAUAUUAAUGACCGGACUGGUGAUUGUAGCAAUAGGAGUAGACUCCUAAUCACCGGAUGCCCGCGGGACCAAACAGAGCGCAGGGACCGGUAUAAACAAACCACAGUAGUCUCCUCCCCCCUAUCGCCCUCUUGGCCAGGUGACGGAACUGUGUCAGUCUUCCGCGUCAUUCACCCUGCAUGGUUGUUCGGCGCUGUUACAGGUAAGGUGGUGAACUGGCUGUCUCCGCGCACUUUAUCUCGCUACUGCCGUCAGCUGCCUUUUAUAUCUCGUAUGUGAUCCCCAUAGAUCCCCGGCUGUCGGAGCCGCGUAGCUCCCUAACACAGAGCGACCGCCACGAAGCUCGCCGAGCGGCGUGAUCGCCCGAGCUGUCUCCUUCACGGCGACGACAGUAACUUGUUCAAUUGGGACUGGGCGGUCGUACCGGAGGAUCUUGGCCACCGUUAGCAGUCCAACUAGCUGCUGUUUUGCCUAUACGCCUUCUACCUCGGUUUGCGUACAUGUGUUUUUUUGGACUGCGUUGCCACAAUUGUUUUGGGCCGGACCGCCUACACCGUUGUGCUCGGACGGCUUUACCCGGAGGAACAAUUUUAGCGUGACGUUCGAUCUUUCCCUUCCCCGUGACUUAUUGGGUCGACGGAGUUAUCUUGUUUUCUUUAUUGUUUAGUUUGUUCUGUAUUUUUGUUUCUUUAUACCCGGGUGAGUGAACCCGGUUGUAUGUACACGUGUUUAACGUUUUGUUGUUUCUUUAUUCUUUUUAGAGCUGAACGCCGAAGGUGGUGGUGUGGUGUCCCGGUGGUGGUGUCCCUUUGCUUGUUUGCUGUGGUCUUUCGUUUUCAUUUGUUUUGCUGUGCUCACUAUUUUGAAACCUCCCCCGCUGCCCUCGUGUCGCCUCCACAACCACUGGUAAGCGUUCAUCAUUUUGUUUAUUAUUUUGACCAUUAUAACCCCCAUUAAUUCCCCUUUUGUUGUGGAAAUUGUGAGCGUGUUUUAAAUUGUUUUAUGGAUCCUCGUAUUUUAUUGUAAUAAACUUAUAACCCCUUUUUGUACAUUGAA